UACGAAGGGGGCUAGCGUUGUUCGGAAUCACUGGGCGUAAAGCGUGCGCAGGCGGUUUUGCAAGCCGGAUGUGAAAUCCCCGGGCUUAACCUGGGAAUGGCAUUUGGGACUGCAAGGCUGGAGUGCGGCAGAGGAGACUGGAAUUCCUGGUGUAGCAGUGAAAUGCGUAGAUAUCAGGAGGAAUACCGAUGGCGAAGGCAGGUCUCUGGGCUGACACUGACGCUCAUGCACGAAAGCGUGGGGAGCAAACAGG
rnacentral:rRNA from 1 species